CAGUAGCCGCGGGAAAACGGAGGGUGCAAGCGUUAAUCGGAAUUACUGGGCGUAAAGCGCACGCAGGCGGUCUGACAAGUCAGAUGUGAAAUCCCCGGGCUUAACCUGGGAACUGCAUUUGAAACUGUCAGGCUGGAGUCUUGUAGAGGGGGGUGGAAUUCCAGGUGUAGCGGUGAAAUGCGUAGAGAUCUGGAGGAAUACCGGUGGCGAAGGCGGCCCCCUGGACAAAGACUGACGCUCAGGUGCGAAAGCGUGGGGAGCAAACAGGAUUAGAUACCCGUGUAGUCCCUGUCUCUUAUAA
rnacentral:rRNA from 1 species